rnacentral:rRNA from 1 species
AGAGUUUGAUCCUGGCUCAGAACGAACGCUGGCGGCAGGCCUCAAACAUGCAAGUCUAGGGGGCGUAGCAAUACGUCACCGGCGGACGGGUGCGUAACACGUGGGAAUGUACCUACUGGUUCGGAACAACUCAGGGAAACUUGAGCUAAUACCGGAUAAGCCCUUACGGGGAAAGGUUUAUCGCCAGUAGAUCAGCCCGCGUCCGAUUAGCUAGUUGGUGAGGUAAAGGCUCACCAAGGCGACGAUCGGUAGCUGUUCUGAGAGGAAGAUCAGCCACACUGGGACUGAGACACGGCCCAGACUCCUACGGGAGGCAGCAGUUGGGAAUCUUGGACAAUGGGGGAAACCCUGAUCCAGCCAUGCCGCGUGAGUGAUGAAGGCCUUCGGGUUGUAAA